rnacentral:rRNA from 1 species
CGUGGGUAACCUGCCCAAGAGAUCGGGAUAACACCUGGAAACAGAUGCUAAUACCGGAUAACAACAGAUGAUGCCUAUCAACUGUUUAAAGGAUGGUUCUGCUAUCACUCUUGGAUGGACCUGCGGUGCAUUAGCUAGUUGGUAGGGUAACGGCCUACCAAGGCGAUGAUGCAUAGCCUAGUUUAGAGACUGAUCGGCCACAUUGGGACUGAGACACGGCCCAAACUCCUACGGGAGGCAGCAGCC